CCUUGUGCUUGGAAGACAACCCUUUACCCACAGAGCUAUAUCCCCAGCCCAAGAAUUCUCAUUUCUGAACACUCCACAUCCCCAUUCUGCUCAGACAUGCAGUGGGCCUAUCUCUUUACUCUCAAGUUGCUUAAGAUGUGAAUAGAUGGAGGAUGUUAAUCCUCUGUAUUUCCAGAUGUGUGGCCAUAGCUAAGUUACUUGGCUACAUCCCAGUGGUUGGAGAUCCUGCAGCAGCUUUGCCUGCAUGACCAGCUGUCAGUCCAACACAGGGGCUUGGUCAUCGCCUAUAACCUGCUGGCAGCCGAUGCUGAGCUGGCCAAGAAGCUGGUGGAGAGCGAGCUGCUGGAGAUCCUGACCAUGGUGGGCAAACAGGAGCUGGACGAAAAGAAGGCGGCUGUGGUUCAGACGGCCCGGGAGUGUCUCACCAAGUGCAUGGAUUAUGGCUUCAUUAAGCCAGUGUCAUAGACAAGGGCCCCCAGGGGUGCUGAGGCUGGUUCUGUAUUGUGUCAAGUCCUGCGCUGGGUACUCCCAGACUGUCAGUUCAUCUGGGGAUCGUAGCAGUGACAAUUAAUUUUCAACAUAAAGGAAAAUGUUUGUUUCCUGAGUUGUUCCCACUUGUCCUAAGAAAGUCUGGGUGUUUCUGGCUCUCUUGA